GUGACGUGCUUAGAGGGAAAGUGAUGGGUCUGGACCUGGAUUUCGAUCUCAGUGCUGACGGCUCCGAGCAGUUUCCAUCACCGGAAGAGCAGUGAGUGAUGACAGCAUGUCUGCUUUCAGGUUCUGGUCUGGCCUGCUGAUUGUGCUGGGCUCUCUGUGCCCCAGAGGCUCGCCGUGUGGAAUUUCAACACACAUAGAAAUAGGACACAGAGCUCUAGAGUUUCUCCACCUUCAGGAUGGGAACGUUAACUACAAAGAGUUGUUAGCUGAACACCAGGAUGCGUAUCAGGCUGGAACCGUGUUUCCUGAUGCGUUCUACCCCAGCAUCUGUGAAAGAGGACAAUUUCAUGAUGUGUCUGAAAGCACUCACUGGACUCCAUUUCUCAACGCAAGCAUUCAUUAUAUCCGAGAGAACUACCCCCUCCCCUGGGAGAAGGACACAGAGAAAUUGGUAGCUUUCUUGUUUGGAAUUGCAUCUCACAUGGUGGCGGACGUCAGCUGGCACAGCCUGGGCAUCGAACAAGGCUUCCUCAGGACAAUGGGAGAUAUUGAUUUUCACGGCUCCUUUUCUGAGGCGCAUGCAGCUGGUGAUUUUGGAGGAGAUGUGUUGAGCCAGUUUGAGUUUAAUUUUAACUACCUCUCACGGCACUGGUAUGUGCCUGUCGAAGACCUACUGGGAAUUUAUAAGAAACUCUAUGGCCGAUCAGUCAUCACCAAAAAUGCAAUUGUUGACUGUUCUUACCUUCAGUUCUUAGAAAUGUAUGGUGAGAUGUUGGCUGUUUCCAAGCUUUAUCCCACUUAUUCUAGAAAGUCCCCAUUUCUGGUGGAACAAUUCCAAGAAUAUUUCCUUGGAGGACUGGAUGAUAUGGCAUUUUGGUCCACUAAUAUUUACCGUCUAACAGGCUUCAUGUUAGAGAAUGGGACCAGUGAUUGCAACCUGCCUGAGAACCCUCUGUUCAUUGCCUGUGGUGCUCGGCAAACCAGCCCCCAGAGCUCACAAGCACAGAAAAAUUAUUUUCAUAGAAAUCUGACUGCAUCUCUAACUAAAAAUACUGAAAAGAAUAUAAAUUAUACCAAAAGAGGCGUGGUCUUCAGUGUGGAUUCCUGGACAUCGGAUUCCCUGUCCUUUAUGUACCAGGCUUUGGAAAGGAAUAUCCGGAUGAUAUUUACAGGCAGCUCUCAGCGGCCACUGAAGCACGUAUCCAGCCCUUUAGCAUCUUACUUCUUGUCACUUCCCUAUGCGAGGCUUGGCUGGGCAAUGACCUCGGCUGACCUCAACCAGGAUGGGCAUGGUGACCUGGUGGUGGGUGCCCCAGGCUACAGCCGCCCUGGCCACAUCCACGUGGGGCGUGUGUACCUCAUCUACGGGAACGAACUGGGCUUGCCCCCCAUCGACCUGGACCUAGACAAGGAGGCCCACGGGGUCCUCGAGGGCUUCCAGCCCUCAGGCCGCUUUGGCUCGGCCGUGGCCGUGCUGGACUUCAACAAGGACGGCGUGCCAGACUUGGCUGUGGGAGCUCCCUCGGUGGGCUCGAAGCAGCUCACCUAUAAGGGUGCAGUGUACGUCUACUUCGGUUCCAAGAGAGGAAGCAUGUCUCCUUCCCCCAACAUCACCAUUUCUUGCCAGGACACAUACUGUAACCUGGGCUGGGCGCUCGUGGCUGCGGACCUGAAUGGAGACAGGGAGCCCGAUCUGGUCAUUGGCUCCCCUUUCGCACCAGGCGGAGGGAAACAGAAGGGGAUCGUGGCUGCAUUUUAUUCUGACCCUGGCCACAGCAACAAAGAAAAGCUGGACGUGGAGGCGGCCGACUGGAUGGUGAGAGGUGAGGCGGACUUCGCCUGGCUGGGGUACUCCCUUCACGGUGUCAGCGUGAACAACAGAACCCUGCUGUUGGUGGGGAGCCCAACCUGGAAGAACACCAGUAGUCUGGGCUAUUUGUUCCACACUCGUGAUGAGAAACAGAGCCUCGGACGGGUGUAUGGCUAUUUCCCACCAAACUGCCACAGUUGGUUUACCAUUUCUGGAGACAAGGCAAUGGGGAAACUGGGUACAUCCUUGUCAAGUGGCCAUGUAAUGGUGAAUGGGACCCAGACACAAGUGCUGCUGGUUGGCGCUCCAACUCAUGAUGAUGUAUAAAACCAUGACUUUGCACCAAGGUGGAGCCACUAGGAUGUAUGAACUGACACCAGACUCGCAGCCUUCACUGCUCAGCACCUUCAGUGGAGACCGCCGCUUCUCUCGGUUUGGAGGAGUUCUGCACUUAAGCGACCUGGAUGAUGAUGGCAUAGAUGAAAUCAUCAUGGCAGCCCCCCUGAGGAUAGCAGAUAUAACCUCUGGGCUGAUUGGGGGAGAAGAUGGCCGUGUUUAUGUAUAUAAUGGCAAACACACCACCUUUGGCGACAUGACAGGCAAAUGUAAAACAUGGAUGUCUCCAUGUCCAGAAGAAAAGGCCCAAUAUGUAUUGAUUUCUCCUGAAGCAAGCUCAAGGUUUGGAAGCUCUAUGAUCACCGUGAGGUCAAAGGACAAGAACCAAGUUGUCAUUGCUGCUGGAAGGAGUUCUUUGGGAGCCCGACUCUCUGGAGCACUUCACAUCUACAGCCUUGGCUUAGAUUAGUUUUUGCUCCAUUUUUCUAAUCUGCCCCUCCCUCUCGUGCUGAGUCAUCUCUAGGGUGAGCAUUUUGAUGGACAAAGUGGCACAGCCAGUGGAGACACACACUAACAGUCAAAUUAUCUGGAAAUACAGAAAAUUAUGACUAUAUCAGAAGUACAUGAAAUCGCAGGCCCUUUGGUUAUUCAUGUCCCCUUCCAAGGUUUAUUUCCUUGUCUCCUUUGCAUCUAAGCCUUUUUUCCUAUUUCUUCUUCCACAGGAAUACUUGUCUUUCUGAUGCCUAGAAAGACCUCUCUGUGGUCAUCUCUUAGGAAAUCUUUGUAUACUAUUCCUCCUAAAAAUGUUCUUUUAAAAUUGGUGACUCAUUAGGUUCACCAAUCAGAAUAAAAUAGAAAGCACAGUAUACAGGAAAAAUUGGAGGAAAAGUACAGUGAGGAAUAACCUCACAACUCCAAAGUCACUUAUAAAUGAUUUGGUCCUUAUUGCAUUUUCAUAUAGUGAAAGGCAAAAUGAUUAUUAUAUUUUCAUAUAGUAUAAGGCAAAUAUAAAAACUAAAACUUAUCUUUUGUAGAGAAGGCUGCUCUAACAGGUAAUGAACCUAGUGACUCUCCACCAGUUUUAAGACACCCCAAGAGGGUCUUCAUGGCAUUAGGAUGCCAUGAGUGCUGACAGCACUAGAGCAGAAAGGAGUGAGCUGACGUGAGCCGAGGGACACCUUCUGUAAGGAUUAAGUAAAUGUGAGGGACCGAGGGGAGUGAAGCAGCCUGGGCUUCCUGUGCUGCUCCUGGUGGAGUGGGUCUCACCUGCCAGCCCUGCAGUGCGGCACAUUUAAGGGAAAAGCGUGCACCACGGGGUUUCAGCUUCACUAAAAUUUGCAGGCAUUAUUAUCUGUAAACUCUAACUAGUUGAUUCUGUAUGAAUCGAGGAAGAACCUCUUUUUUUCUGACACUAGUGAAAUGUGUAAAAGCAGGAGAAAAUAAAUGACAUGAGCCCUUCUCUUCUCAGCUUGUCUAGGGGCAGAAUAGAGACCAGUCAAGGGGGACAGGAAUCAGCUGAAGAAUAAAGUUAAAUGAGAUCAAGGAAAAGCUAGAGUUAAAACUGUGAGCGCAAGGUAUCUGUAGGAAAAAAAAUGUAAACAGGCACGUACCUAGACAGCACCUCUGGACCACUCCUGGAACUGUCUCAUCUUUCUUAGGGAGGUAUGCUAGCUGCAUGGUUCCC